rnacentral:rRNA from 1 species
AGUGAACGCUGGCGGUAGGCCUAACACAUGCAAGUCGAACGGCAGCACAGUAAGAGCUUGCUCUUACGGGUGGCGAGUGGCGGACGGGUGAGGAAUACAUCGGAAUCUACUUUUUCGUGGGGGAUAACGUAGGGAAACUUACGCUAAUACCGCAUACGACCUACGGGUGAAAGCAGGGGAUCUUCGGACCUUGCGCGAUUGAAUGAGCCGAUGUCGGAUUAGCUAGUUGGCGGGGUAAAGGCCCACUAAGGCGACGAUCCGUAGCUGGUCUGAGAGGAUGAUCAGCCACACUGGAACUGAGACACGGUCCAGACUCCUACGGGAGGCAGCAGUGGGGAAUAUUGGACAAUGGGCGCAAGCCUGAUCCAGCCAUACCGCGUGGGUGAAGAAGGCUUUCGGGUUGUAAAGCCCUUUUGUUGGGAAAGAAAAGCAGCAGGUUAAUACCCCGCUGUUCUGACGGUACCCAAAGAAUAAGCACCGGCUAACUUCGUG